GAUGAACGCUGGCGGCGUGCCUAAUACAUGCAAGUCGAGCGAACAGACGAGGAGCUUGCUCCUCUGACGUUAGCGGCGGACGGGUGAGUAACACGUGGAUAACCUACCUAUAAGACUGGGAUAACUUCGGGAAACCGGAGCUAAUACCGGAUAAUAUAUUGAACCGCAUGGUUCAAUAGUGAAAGACGGUUUUGCUGUCACUUAUAGAUGGAUCCGCGCCGCAUUAGCUAGUUGGUAAGGUAACGGCUUACCAAGGCAACGAUGCGUAGCCGACCUGAGAGGGUGAUCGGCCCCAAUGGAACUGAGACACGGUCCAGAACCCUACGGGAGGGAGCAGUAGGGAAUUUUCCGCAAUGGGCGAAAGCCUGACGGAGCAACGCCGCGUGAGUGAUGAAGGUCUUCGGAUCGUAAAACUCUGUUAUUAGGGAAGAACAAAUGUGUAAGUAACUAUGCACGUCUUGACGGUACCUAAUCAGAAAGCCACGGCUAACUACGUG
rnacentral:rRNA from 1 species